CCUCCUUUCUAAGGAAAUUUCUUAAUGAAAUUAAAUCUUUAUGAUUUAAAUUCUUUUGAAAUUCUUGGAACAUAAUGUCAGAUUUAUCUGACAAACAUUGCUGGAUUGUCGCCAUCUUCGUUUCUCUUUCUCAGGAUUAAGUUAUACCUAAUCGGAAUAGCGGGCCUGUAGCUCAGCUUGGUUAGAGCGCACGCCUGAUAAGCGUGAGGUCGGUAGUUCAAGUCUACCCAGGCCCACCAUAUCUUAAUCUUUUGAAUCAUAGAUUCUGAAAGAGUCUGUUCAUUAACAUUGUAAAGAGAAAUAUUUUGAUCAUAUCGUAUACAUGCUUAUUAUUUGUAUUAUGAGUGGUGCCUGCACGGGCACAGUUAGUUCUUUAACUUUCAAAAUAUAAGUAGAAUAGAUUAUAAAUUUUAUAAUCAAAAUGGUCUUUUUGUGAUGUUUAUUAAAUCCCUUACAACCGAUUUAGUAGAUAUCAAAAAAGUG
rnacentral:misc_RNA from 1 species